CAUGGAUGUCAGCAGGCUGGAUCCCCAGCGAUCGGCAGAGAUCCACCACCGUCAACGGGCCAGUCAAUGCCCACAGGUGCCCUGAAGCUAAUGGAGCUAAGUCGAGUUGUACCAGCUGAGGAUCUAGUCCGUGUAGUGCGGCAUCCCCGGGGCAUCACUGUCAACUGCACAGGUCAGGUUAACAGCAGCCCCCUCGUGGACAUCCGGUGAAGGAGAGAUCCAGACCCUUGCAGCUGGGAGGAAAGACUAAUCCUGGAUCUCCACCUUCAAGCUGUUGUGUGAUGAGGAGACACUGACUCGCUGUCCGGCUGCAGGGUGGGAGCCCGUGGUGGAAGCCACAAGUUCGCCUCCUCUGAACAGAGAUACCUCUGACUGUGGGUCACUAUCAACAGUGCACUGGAGAAUGCC